rnacentral:rRNA from 1 species
UGAGUAACCUGCCCUUAACUCUGGGAUGAGCCUGGGAAACUGGGUCUAAUACCGGAUAUGACUCCUCAUCGCAUGGUGGGGGGUGGAAAGCUUUUUUGUGGUUUUGGAUGGACUCGCGGCCUAUCAGCUUGUUGGUGAGGUAAUGGCUCACCAAGGCGACGACGGGUAGCCGGCCUGAGAGGGUGACCGGCCACACUGGGACUGAGACACGGCCCAGACUCCUACGGGAANCAG